rnacentral:rRNA from 1 species
GACGAGCAACACAAACGUUAUUCGGAAUUACUGGGCUUAAAGGGCGCGUAGGCGGCGAGAUAAGUCGGGUGUGAAAGCCCUCAGCUCAACUGGGGAACUGCGCCCGAAACUGUCUUGCUCGAGGAAGAUAGAGGGACGCGGAACUCAGAGUGUAGUGGUGAAAUGCGUAGAUAUUGUAAGGAACACCGGUGUCGAAAGCGGCUCCCUGGGUCUGUUCUGACGCUAAGACGCGAAAGCGUGGGGAGCAAACAGG